rnacentral:rRNA from 1 species
CCUACGGGCGGCAGCAGUGGGGAAUAUUGGGCAAUGGGCGCAAGCCUGACCCAGCAACGCCGCGUGAAGGAAGAAGGCUUUCGGGUUGUAAACUUCUUUUGUCAGGGACGAAGCAAGUGACGGUACCUGACGAAUAAGCCACGGCUAACUACGUGCCAGCAGCCGCGGUAAUACGUAGGUGGCAAGCGUUAUCCGGAUUUAUUGGGUGUAAAGGGCGUGUAGGCGGGAAUGCAAGUCAGAUGUGAAAACUAUGGGCUCAACCCAUAGCCUGCAUUUGAAACUGUAUUUCUUGAGUGCUGGAGAGGCAAUCGGAAUUCCGUGUGUAGCGGUGAAAUGCGUAGAUAUACGGAGGAACACCAGUGGCGAAGGCGGAUGACUGGACGGCAACUGACGGUGAGGCGCGAAAGCGUGGGGAGCAAACAGGAUUAGAUACCCUAGUAGUC